rnacentral:rRNA from 1 species
UACGAAGGGUGCAAGCGUUAAUCGGAAUUACUGGGCGUAAAGCGUGCGUAGGUGGUCUUUUAAGUCCGUUGUGAAAGCCCUGGGCUCAACCUGGGAAUGGCAGUGGAUACUGGAAGGCUGGAGUACGGUAGAGGAGGGUGGAAUUCCACGUGUAGCAGUGAAAUGCGUAGAUAUGUGGAGGAACACCGAUGGCGAAGGCAGCCCCCUGGGCUAGUACUGACGCUCAUGCACGAAAGCGUGGGGAGCAAACAGG